CCUACGGGGGGCAGCAGUGGGGAAUUUUGGACAAUGGGCGCAAGCCUGAUCCAGCCAUUCCGCGUGCAGGACGAAGGCCUUCGGGUUGUAAACUGCUUUUGUACGGAACGAAAGGGCUCUCUCUAAUACAGGGGGCAUAUGACGGUACCGUAAGAAUAAGCACCGGCUAACUACGUGCCAGCAGCCGCGGUAAUACGUAGGGUGCAAGCGGUAAUCGGAAUGACUGGGCGUGGAGCUUGCGGAGGCAGGUGAAGUCCCCGGGCUCAACCUGGGAACGGCCUUUGUGACUGCAAAGCUGGAGUGCGGCAGAGGGGGAUGGAAUUCCGCGUGUAGCAGUGAAAUGCGUAGAUAUGCGGAGGAACACCGAUGGCGAAGGCAAUCCCCUGGGCCUGCACUGACGCUCAUGCACGAAAGCGUGGGGAGCAAACAGGAUUAGAUACCCCAGUAGUC
rnacentral:rRNA from 1 species